UCUUUUUUUUUUUUUUUUUAAUGCUACACUAGUGAAGGACCUGUGCGUUGCGGCAGGAUGACUUCAUAAAAAUAAAUAAAUAAAUUACAAAAUAGCAAAAUAAAAAGUCAAAAAAUUAUAUAAAAUAAAUAACUGAAAAAUAAGUAACUAAUUAAAGAUUGGGGAUGAAAAUAUCAGAUACCUUAUUGUUUAAAUCAUAAUACAUUAAAAAUUUGAGGAUUAAAUUAUUAUUCGUCUUAUAGCUUUAAGGAUGGAAAUGUAAAUCCAAUCUUUCAAAAACAUUUUUUAUCCAAUUUUUUAUAUAUUUUAAAUUUUUAUAGUAUAAAAUAAAAAAUUAGAUUAGACUUAAAAAUAUUAUAAAUUUUCUUCUAUGUACAUGAACAAAAAAAAAAUUGAAGUUAGAGGAAAAAAAAAAAAAGCCUCCCUCCUCUCUCUCCCGUUGGGUCCCAUCCGCACUGUUCCCGAAUUGGAUUUAAAAAAAUAAUAAAUAGAGGGAACAAUGAGAUGAGAGAAAAAAAAACUCACUCUACCACCGUCUUCCCCAGGCUAGGUCAAAAUUAUAUAAAAAAAUAACUAAAAAAUAAAGAAUUAUUACUUUAAAAAAUAUAAAAAUAAUUAUAAGAAAGAUUAAAAAAAUAAAGGCAAUAUCAUCUUAUAAGAAAUUUAUUAGUUAAUUUAUAUAUUUAUAUAUUAUAAAUUAUUAUUAUGUAUAUUAUUAUAAAUUUUAGAAAAUAAUUAGUAGUUCUUACAUUUUUGGCCUAUAUCUUACUUAUAUCUAUCUAUCCAUAUUAUUAUUUUUUUUAUUUUUUAUUAUUUCAUUUGUAAAUUUCUUUUAUUAUUUUAUAUAUUUUAACAUUCUUUUAUGGGUUAAUUAAAAUUUAUACUUUAAAAAAAUUUAACUAUUUAAAAAAUAUAUUAUAUAAAUUAUUUAUAAAAAUAAAUAGAAAUUAGAUGAAAUUACAAAAUUAUAAAUUUUUUUAUUUAUAUAUUAGAUAAUGUAUAAAAUUAAAGGUAAAAAUUAAAGAUAGAAAAGACAAAAAAAAUAAAAAUCUGCUCUCGUGUCCUCUCUCUCAGCCUCGUGCUCGUGGCGGCCUGGCCACAACCUCUCUGCUCCUCUCGACUCUCCUUCGUUCUCUCCCGCUCCUCUCUUCCGCACGCGCACCGGCCGGCGCCCUAAAUGCGUUGCCUGUCGCCCGCCCGCGCACGCGGCGCCCGCCGCUCGACUCGCUCUCCUCUUCCUCUCCCCCCGUGCCGCUACCGUUCGCGCCGCUCGCCGUCCACCGCGCCCGCGCGCGCCGUGUCCUGGCGCCCCUCGGCGCCAAGCGCGCCCCCGCCACGCGCGACGCGCCUUGCCCGCCCGUCAAAUGCGCUCGGCCAGGGUCGCAUGCGUACGCGCGUCGCCUGCCCGCGGCCGCGUGCCGCAGCCCCGCCCUGCGCACACGGCGACACCGCAGGUCGCUGCCGCUUGCGUCCGUGCUGUGCGGGGUGGCGCUCAGCCUAGCCCCGCUCCGGCUCGGCCACUUGUUAAGACUGAGGAUUUACAUAAUUAUUAAUAUAGAUAAGAUGCACAUGCAAUCCUUGAGAGUCGCGUCUGAAUCGCAAGAUCGUAGAGAAGCAGCAAAUCCGCCGAAACGGCGGAACACACGGUUCUUAGGUCAAAUAAAUUUGCGCUAAUUUAUUUUUUUUUUUUAUUUAAUCGCUUGAUGGCCGUCCGUAUGUUCGUUUCUUCAACGCGGAGACACCGUCGAUUGAGGAGCGCGACAUUCACAAAUUAAGCAAACCAAUCGGAUGAUAUUAGUUUAAUUUUGUUCUUUAAUGAAAAGGAAUUUAAAGAAGAAAUGAGCAAAAAUUUCGUCGAUACCACAUGUUAGAACUUAUAAAAACUAAUCGUACUUCUGUCAUGGGAUAUUUGAUUUUUGUACCGAUUUGUAAGGCGGCGACACUAACAUAAAAAACGUACUAUAGCUACAUGUUAAAUAUAGUAAAUGUCAAAAAACGGCUAGUAAAAUUACCGAACUUUUUAAAGUGUUGCUAUAUUGGGGGAGGUGUAGGUAUAUAUAGUGACAAGUGAAAAAUGUUUGUAAUAACAUAAAAGAAUGCUGCAAUUUACCAUAUUAUUUAGCAUUAUAAUCGUCGAAACUUCAUCUCGUUGCUUGCGUGGUGAUGGAGGAGACAUAAAGCCUUGCGUAUAGAUUUCAGGGGAUUAGUGAAAAAGAAGAAGAAUUAUGAUUUUCUUUUUUCUUGUUCUGUUUGUAAUCAGGCCAAUGGACCUCUGGUUGGUGGGAUUGAGUAGAAAGUAAUUCUAUUUAAUUUUGGUUGAUGGGACUUUAUAGGUUAAGGCAUUAUUAUGAUGUUUUUUUAAGGGUUUUAGCAUAAAUCGGACCUACUCAAAGUGUCCAAACAUGUGUCCAUAACGCUAAUUAUGAUUGUAGUAUGAUCUUACUCGUGGUUCGUCCUCUGUAGAGACUUACAAGGAAGACAGGGACGGGAGUUUCGAGUUAAUUCGCUUAUAACCUCGGAGAUGGAGGCCUCACACAAUUGGAUUAGGGUUAAGCCGGGAUCCGUAUUUUCAUAAUUUAUAAUAUAAAAGUUAAUGAAAGGAUGUUAAAUCAUGUCGUCCCACAAGGACACUAAAUACAUCUAACGUUAAAGAUCAUACGCAUAUUUUAUAGAUAGAACUUAGAUAUAGAUUGAUGUAUUCUUUAUGAAUCGCGAGUUGAAUAUAUACGUGGGCAAAUACCAAGCACCUAUAAUCCUAUAUUUAUUCCUUUCUCUUUUCAUAUUAUUAGCUUUUUUUUGUUUCGUUCUCGUGUUCUUUUUCUUUUCUUUUUUGAUUUGGUCUUUUAUUAUGUCAAGUCUUGAGCUUCGCCAUAUAUCCACAUUGUUGCACUCUGCCCACAGUUCCUACUACAUUUACUUUUCAUUCUCAUAUUUACUUAAUUAUAUUAAUAUAAAUAUAUAUUAGUGUUUGAUUUUUUUUUUUUUUUUUUUAAGUAAAAAGAAUGACUUUGCGAAUGACAUUAAUACUAGCUUGAAUUUUUAAAAAAUUAAACAGUCUAAUGAAACUCUUUUAUCGUAAUCAUAGUAAUAAUUUAUUGUAUUCACAAGAACCUAAGCUUAUAAUAAUUUCGUCAACAAUUAAUAUAUAAAGAAAUAUUUUUCUAUCGAUGUUUUUUAAUUAUAUUUCUGUUCAAAUUGCUGGUAAUGUCACCCCCGGUCCUUUUUCAGUUUAACAAACAAGCGGAAUAGACGUAUUGAAUUUUUUUUUUGAACUGCGCGCAGGUAAUGCAAUACCGCCACAAAUAAGGAAUCCCCUGUUCCACGGACACGAGUCUCCUGUAUGUUGAAACGGCGCUCGAUAAAUCAUCAGUACAACAUCUGGGGGGGGGAAUCAAACAAACAGAUGAAAUAUAAAGAAUAACUAUAACAUUCAUACACAUUCACAUCACAUCACCAGUUUUACAUUCAAGUUGAAACAGAAAUCACAAAAAGCUCUUUGAAAACUGUUUCUAAUCAACAGAUAACUUUUAUUUUUUAAAAAAUAAGCUAACACACUGAGGGGGUAGAAAACUUUAUUUUAUUCAAAAUCACAGAAAUCCAUUUCAAAUAUAAUAAAUAUGAUACACAAUAAACUAACUAAACUAUAUAUCACAGAAAUACCAAGGAUAUUGUAAAUAAAGAUCGAAAUAACUGGGUCAGAGCUCUACGACCAGUACACACAGUAACGUCACGUCUCGUCCAUCCACAGCUACUCUGUCGUGCCGAUAGCUGAAAAAGGUGGGGAGUGAGAAAUGUAAACAAGCUCGCUCAGAUGGUACCCGCAAGCCGGAAGAACUGCGAGGAGUACUCACGAUCAGAGAAGAAGAGGCUAUACAACAAGCUACGGAGAACUAGAUAGAUCAUAAAGUACUGUAAGUAAAGAUGCUGAUAAGUAGGGCUGUACUAAUAUAUCGAUGCACGUAAAUAAGUACUUACCAUAAAAGAUAUAGGAUGGUACUGAAGUAAACACAUCUUACAGUAUUGCAGCGUCAAUGAACGAUAAGCUCAAAGACCAAUUCUCGCUGGCGCUAAUUGGUCCGAACCUCAGGCCAUGCUCACAUCAGCUCCACUUACUGACCCGAGAAAGCCCUGGGACACGAAGCACUAACUGAACCUCCGCAUGAAGCCCUGGGUCAGAGCAUAUACAGUCGUGCAAUAAACACCGAUGGGCUUUAGGGUUGGAAUACAGAAUUUUCCGGAAAAGAACCCCUCUUGCGGUGGAUCAGACGCGCAGGUAGUUCGUCGAAUGCGUAUGCAGUGGCGAUGCAUUCAUGUAUGAUCAAAGAUCUUCAUUGGCAAAUAAGCCGACAAUCCAGCCCCUUCAGGGACACCGACGUGAGACUAGUACGGUCUACGUUGUCAAAAAAUGUAAACAUAUCGACGAAUAGUCAUAGAUAUAAAUAGGGAACGCCACAAAAUCACAAUAAUAGUGACAGAAUAAGUGAUCUAUCCUAAGCAUGAUAUACUUGAACACUGCUCGGCACAUGGGUCAUCAUGUCACAAAAGAACCAACCAGGUCAAAUAUAGAUAUGAAGCGACAAUUCAUGUCCAAGUAUAAUAAUCUAGAACAUAACUGUCGCACACUAUGCAAAUAUCCGCCUCAGAAGGUACACGGACCUCAAAGUCAUCGACAACAGAGUCAAGAAACCGACAUAGGUUACUGAUAGGUACAAAACUGAGCAACAGUGUUCACAAGUGUAGAAUUACACUCGACCUGUCCAGGUCAUAGGAGAUCACAUAGGAGAUCAGAAAGCCAUCAUAGAUAUGAAUAAACAGAUAAAUUCUCUACUCCGUACCCUGCUAUACAGACUGCAAUAAGUAGAGAGUAAAGUAAAAGAAACGGAAGGGUACACAGGCUCAACAUACAUAUAAUGUAAAGAUUACAACAAGGGUAAGGAACCGUACCACGACGUGAAAUCACGAAGCAAACAGUCGAUCGAAGUACACUACCUGAUAGUAUCUGAGAAAGAUGCUCUCGAGUUUUUUUUUAUUGAUUUACUAGAGAAGACGUGCCCGAACUACGAAGUCAACGGGUUAAGAGUUAACACAGCUGACAAUGAAAAGCUACUCCGCCCGCACGAACAUACCUGGUUUCCAAAACCGAUUACUGAAUAAACGAGUCGAAACCGACGGAACUUCACGUAGUCAUUGUGACGCGUCAUUUCAACCAUCAAAACGACGGCGGUGACAGCGCAACCAGCUCAGCGACAGCUACAAUCAGCCACGAAGGCACGUCAGGAGUAAAAAUCAACGGAACGCGGCGUCAAUUGCGUAUAUCGACGAAAACAGGUUUAGAAAUACUUAUUCGAUUUCCGCAAGGCGUUUGGGAGACUUGACGAUACACGAUCCAGAGGUUAAGUCACAACCACAAAUGACUACAACAAAUUCAAUGCUUUUUUAGUGACGAAGCAGAAAACGCAAAGCCAUACGAUAACAUGAAAUGCAUAAUGUAUGUGAUUUCUAGGCUUUUCUGGACCUGCACAGCAAACCAGAAGGUCAUUAAUCACCGCCGUUCGAUAUCGUGACGAGAUUUCAGCAAAUGUCGGAGGCGUCUCACUUUUCAGGAGCACUGCCGCACUGGGUGGCCGCACCGAUGCGAUUGAAUUAAGAUAUAACUGCGCGACAAGCGGAAGAUGCGUGACUAACUCACAAACAGGGCAUCAUUGGCCCGCUUGUUGAGGAUCACGUUGUUGCACAGAGCUGUUGAUUCAUCGUGCUCCACUAUCACCAUGAGCUUAGGAUGCUUAUAGUCACCGGAAAGAAGACGGCAACCUGAUCGAAAACAGUGCUGGCUACAUAAUGCCUUACAGCCCGAGAGAGCAAGGGUUUGGGAUCAGUGGGCGGCCGGAAUGGGCGGGGAUGGGCGGACGUCGCGGCCGAGGAGGGAGCACUCGAUUCAGGAGGUCGGGAUGGGUGCUGCGCGGGCGGCAACGCGUGGCGCAACGGCUGAGAACGAGCCUUGCUCACUUCCUAUUCUCGGUUUGGUUUCCCGGCGCGCGGCGGGGCCGCGGGGGACCGGGAGGAGGUCGGGUCGGCGAGUUCUGCGAGCUCGGAGUGAGGGAAGGCGGAACGACUACGGUGAGGCGCAGCACCGGCGGCGCGGCUCCAAGGUGGACCAGCGCAGUCUGGGACGGACUAGCGGGGGUUCAUGGCGCGCGCGCGUUGCGGUGGGCACAGGGGGAGGCACGCGGGGUCCACCGAGGUCCGCUGGGAGACGGCCGCGAUGCGAGAGAAGUGGUGCGGCGCCGCAAGCUCGAGGUGCGCUCGGCUGAGCUGACCCCGGCUUGGCCGCAGCUUCCUCGCGCCUCGCGGAUACUGUCCGGAUGGUCCAAGCUGGGAGAUAAGUGCGCUGUGAGUAGGAUAACGGCCGGGCUUCCUUCGCAAGUUUGUAGAUAUGCCACAAUGCUCUCCGCAAAUGGAGGAGAUGAAAAGGUGGCCGAAGGGUGGACGGGAAGGUAUGGAGGGAGGUUCGUGCAGAGCGCAGCAGGCGGCCGGCGCGCGCACGCAGGGCAGCGGCAGCUGGGCGGCUAGGGUGGUAUCUUGGGUAAGUUGGGGGGAAUUAUGUUAGGUUCAGUCGCAACCUAAAUCUCCUAUAAUGUAAAUGAGUAAACAUUGGGAGAAACCCCGGAGAUUGAAUCAAUUUCGACCAGCUGCCACCUUGUGCACCUUGACACGACAGUGCCUUCCGAGUUUGAAAACAUCCGCAAAACGGCCAUAUAAUAAAGGGACUUUUUCGGCGUUAUCAUUUUGUCAAUCAUUGCCUUGCGGACUUUUCGCUGAUCCCGAAGAUCCGUCCGUUCGAUUUCCGAGAACGGGUUGCCGCACCACGAUGCAGGACGACUGGGCGUCGAAAUCAGAUUUCGUUUCGGUCUGAAAAGGUCUCCAGAUUGCAAAUAAAACCCACUCUCCUGUUCCAUCAAACCACAUAAUGGUUAGUGAUCAUAUGUAAAUAACAAAUUAAAUCACACCUUUUUCUCGACCGGCAGCAGAACAAUCGUCAGCGCAAUGAUCAGUAUAGUCGAGCUUCGAAUAACGGACGCUAUUGAAAGUCUAUAUCGAGUCGGAUAUGCCGGUGAAGUCCACUCUACUCCGCGGCCUCUCUGGAAAACUGGAGUUACUAUUCACUUAAGUCGAACUUCCGGGUCGCGUAACUUCUCCGUUUUAACUCGUUUUCUCCUGAAAUUUGACGAGUACACCUAUAAUUAUAUUACACACAAGAACAUCGUCAAACAAAAGGGUUUAAUCAAUAAAUAAAAAAAAUCUCAGUUAUUACAUCAUUCCCCCCUUACAAAAGUUUCGUCCCCGAAACUUAAAUUAAACAUCCCCCGAAAACAAAUGCGGAUAACUCUCCCGCAUAGAAGACUCAAGCUCCCACGUAGUCUCACGCUCCUCAUGAUUUGCCCACUGAACCUUUACAUAAGGAAUGCUCCUGUUCCGUAGUUGCUUCACCUCACGUGCCAGAAUCCUCAUCGGAGCCUCCUCAUAGCUCAGAUCCUCCCGUAGCUGAAUAGACGUCGGACUGAUGACGUGAGACGGAUCUGGAAUGUACUUCCGAAGCAUGGACACGUGAAAGACAUUAUGCACACGGGCGAGACUUGGAGGAAGAGCCAAUCUGUACGCCACUGUACCAACGCGCUCUAGGAUCUCAAAUGGUCCCACAAACCGAGGACUAAGCUUGUUCCGCAAACCAAACCGCUUGAUCCCCCUGGAAGGCGACACCUUGAGCAGCACAUGCUCACCGACCUGAAACUCUAGGUCACGCCUCCGCUGAUCCGCGUAGCUCUUCUGUCGACUCUGUGCAGUCUGAAGCCGCUCUCUCGCAAUGCGGAUCUUUGCCUCCGCAUCCUCCACUAAGUCUGGCCCGAUCAACCGGCGUUCCCCGACGUCAUCCCAACAGAUAGGAGAUCGACAUCGACGCCCAUAUAAAGCCUCGUACGGUGCCAUCCCGAUGCUCGCCUGGUAGCUGUUAUUAUAGGCGAACUCCACUAGUGGUAGAUAUCGAAACCAUCCAUCGCCGUAAUCCAGGACACAGGCGCGAAGCAUGUCCUCAAGAGUCUGGAUGACUCGCUCUGAUUGCCCGUCACUCUGGGGAUGGAAUGCAGUACUGAAGUUCAGCUUCGUUCCCAUAGCCUGCUGUAGACUCCUCCAAAAGUGGGAAACGAAGCGAGUGUCCCGAUCAGAUACAAUCGACACUGGCACACCAUGAAGCCGGACAAUCUCGUCCCCGAAACUUGACCACGUACCCACUGAAAUCGAAAUCAGACAUUGCUCCACCAGUGUACUGGUCAUUCAUAAAUCUGAGAUAAUAUUUCAUCACUCAAAACUUUAGGUCCACUCAACCUUAUUUCGCGUAACAGUAACCGACUUGACUACGUCGAAGGUUCAUGUAGAAGAAACACGAGUCAACACCACAAGUCUGGAGUGUAUUUCAUAGGCCGAAAAUACACACUCUGACCAGCCAACAACGUCAACCUGCUUACCAUGAGCGAAUACGAAAUGUUGAUCUAAGAUCUGAGUCAGAAUUCUCACCUUGGAGACCACAGUCUCCCAUCAGUAACCACACAAACUGCCAAAACCUCCAUCAACGGAAAAAUCACCUGCGAUAAACUAUAGUCCUAGGUCCAAGACCUCACUUUUCACCUGACCAAAAAGGUCCAACCGACAAUACCAAAUACGCUAGACAAUUUUGUCUCCUCAAUUGUAACCGAUACCAUUAAACCAACAUACUCACCAUGUAAGUCCAUUACUUGAUGCACAGGUCGCCAAUCGCAAAAGCGAUACUAACCAUCGGUGAUGCUCAACACCUGUCUCUACAAGACCCUGUCGCUGCCGUCCUACAAGGGACCCUAGCGAUCGAUGUUCCCAGCAACCACCCGAUUACUUGUCUCAUUGAGACCCAGGCGCACCUGUCAUCAAAUAACCAGACAAGCAAGCUAACCCAAGGUUUGCACGAUAAGCCAAGUCGCAAACUUUUACGCUAUCAUAUAUGGUGACAAUCCAAGCCGACAACCAGGCUCAAGUCGCUCAACCACUAAUUCUAAACUUCAUGACAACAGACCGAGACUACUAACCCAAACAAACCUUUUAGUCGUGGAAGGCACAAUUAAAGUGCUACGAACAUCCAAACUCGAACUAGAGUCAAAAACCCUUUAUCAGUGACGAUAAGUCAACUAUGCAAAACCUGCCAAGGAAUAACCCAAGGCUCGCUACGUAGUCAAAGAUGACUAUCUCUCUAGCUUUUCCCACAAAACAGCCUAGAGAACACAUCGACCCAAUCCAUAAGUCCCAAAUGGGAAGAUGGUAUUUCGUUCCUCUUUCGACAGUAUAUUGUCUGCAGCCAAUAUACUUAUCAAAAGAAAAGCGAAAUAUCCGAAGAUCCACUACCAACAACAAGUUGGAAGUACAACGCGAUAACGUAUCAAGCCACUUUAUACCUCUCUACUGAACCAGAAGCUCACAACCAUUACUAUCGAAACAUUGACUUUACAAGUCGACAUUCGAAAUUAGAACGACCCUGGAACAUCUCGAAUCUAGACCAACUACAACUAACCCACAACACACCAAUUUGGGUGUUAGAAUAACCGCACACGAUGUAUGCCUUAACGAAAACUUGACACCAAAACUGUGUCAAUUUGACUCUGGGAGGAAGAAUGAAUGAGUUCAAGGUCAAAAGAUUCGAACCGCUGAUUCCAAUCAACAAUCAAGGAGGAGAGGUAGGCAUCGCAACCCUACCCAAAGGUCUGCGGAAGCAACACUAACAAUGCAGUCGCUGAAACGACCGCAAUCCAAACCCUGGGCUACACCCUAGUAGCCCUACAGAAGUCGCGACCGUAACUGGUCUAAGCACCGUCUCCGUAGAGACACUCGCAACAGCUCUCGUGUCCUAAGUAGAGAGAGUAGCAUGGGCGUCGGCAGUCAUGACACUCGCCUAGGCCCAGAGAUUACUGGCCUUUCAAGGCCCCACCUGACAGGAAUGGCUACACCUGGGGGACGUCGCCCGACCACUCGAUGUCCGAAAAAGUACACCGCCACUACACCCGACUUAGACACCAGCUUGUGCGAACCGUAACUCAUACAGGAACCAUACACUUCGAGUUUAACAAACUCGCAUGCACACCGGGACACAAGCCCAAACCCCGCACUCACGUGCCUAUAUACCGUAGGUCUUCCUAUAGGUCAACCUAACCAAUGGUUCAGUUCAUUUGGUUCAGUUCAUUUACUUUUCAAAACAACCUGUGAAUGGUGUUGUGGUUGUAACCUCGCUCUGAUACCACUUUAAUCUGUCACGCCCCGGGGUCCCUUUUCAGUUUAAAACAAAGCGGAAAAGCGUCUGAAUUUUUUUUUUUGAAAACCUGACCCCAGAGUAUGCCAGAUCCGCCACAAAUACAGGGAAUCCACUGUUCACACGGACAGAGUCUCCCCUGUAUUUGCACGGCGUCGAUCAAAUACACAGUACAACCAGGAUACAACCACAACCAGAUGAAUAUAAAGAUAACUAUACAUUCAUACAUUCACCAUUCACAUCACAGUUUUACAUUCAAGGUUUAAACAGAAAUCCACAAAAAUCUUUUGAAAACUGUUUCCUACACAGAAACUUUUAUUCUUUUAAAAAACGCUACCACGAGGGGUAGAAAACCUUUUAUUUUACAAAAUCCAGAAAUCCACAUUUUCAAAUAUAAAUAAAUACUGAACCACAUAAACUAACUAAACUAUAUAUCAACAGAAAUACCAAGGAUAAUAACUAAAUCGAAAUAACCUGGGUCAGAAGCUCUAUCGACCGCUACACACGUACCUCACGUCUCGUCCCACUACUCGUCGCCCGCGAUACCUGAAAAAUGGUGGGGGAGGUGAGAACAUGUAAACAUGUCUCCCCUCCCAGUGGGUACCGCAAGCCGAAGAAGGCGAGGAGUACUCACCGGAUCAGGAAGAGAGCUAUACAACAACACGGAGAACUAGAUAGACAUAAGUACUGGUAAGUAAAGAUGCUGAUAAGUAAGGAGCUGACAAGUAUAGAUGCAGGUAAAUAAAACAGUAGCUACAAUAAAUAGAUAAGGAUGUACUGAAAGUAAACACCACAGCUACUGUAUGCAUGCGUCAACUGACGAUAAGCUCAAAAGUACNNNNNNNNNNNNNGUUUCAGUGAUAUUGUUGAUAGUGAUCAAAAUAUAUCUCACUACCAGAUAGAAUAGAACCUAUGGGGUCACACACAUAAGAGGUUGUGAUUGAUCGGAUAGCUAGAUCACGAUUAUUGAAUCGCCGGAGGACCUAAUUAUCAAUUUAAUGAUAAUUAGACUAAUUUGUAAUUGUUACAAAUUAGUGGUAUUAAGGUGUAAAUGUUACAAGAGAGGACUUACUAAUAGUUAGUAAAUUAUAAGAGGACUUAUGUGCAAAUGUUGCAUUAUUAAUUUGAUAUAAUCAAAUUAAUAUAAAGAUCGAAUCAAAUUAGGAUUUGAUUGAUCUAACCAAUUAAGGAAAAGAUAAAUUUAAAUCUAGAUUUAUAAUUAUCCUUAAUUGUCAUUAUAUUAUUAGGAAUAUGAUUAUAUUCCUAUAUAUAUAUAAUAUACGGGAGUUUUUAAAAAACCCUAGCCCGUCAUAUCUCUUCUCCUCUCUUCCAUCUUCUAGCAAAUAGACGUCCUUUUGGAAGGGAGCUAGCACCCCGGUGAGGACAUCGAUCAAAUUAAGAACCUCGUGUGGAUACCUAUAGAGGCCGGACGCGUGUGCGGCUUCAAGAGAACCCGAUUCCACGAUCAUCAAAUUGAGGCAAGGAUUUAUCCGCGAAAAAGGUAAAGAUUCGAUCUUGUUUUUCUUCUUUAAUCUUAAAACAUGAGGGAUCCUAAUUGCGUGGUUUUUGAGAUUUGAUCUCGAGAGUUUUCAAAAAUCAAUUUUGUUUGAUUUCUUUUUCCGCUGCGUUUUUACAAUACGCAAUUUUCUAACAUAAACCGCAUCACGUU
rnacentral:lncRNA from 1 species